rnacentral:rRNA from 1 species
AUUGAACGCUGGCGGCAGGCCUAACACAUGCAAGUCGAGCGAGCGGCGGACGGGUGAGUAAUGUAUGGGGACUGCCCGAUAGAGGGGGAUAACUACUGGAAACGGUAGCUCAUACCGCAUACUAUCGGAUAACCCAUAUGGGAUUAGCUAGUAGGUGAGGUAAUGGCUCACCUAGGCGACGAUCCCUAGCUGGUCUGAGAGGAUGAUCAGCCACACUGGGACGGAGACACGGCCCAGACUCCUACGGAGGCAGCAGUGGGGAAUAUUGCACAAUGGGGGCAUGCCGGAUGCAUCCCUGCCGCGGGUAUGAAGAAGGCACUAGGAUUGUAAAGUACUUUCAGUCGGGAGGCUUUACCGACAGAAGAAGCACCGGCUAACUCCGUGCCAGCAGCAGCGGUAAUUC